GACGAACGCUGGCGGCGUGCUUAACACAUGCAAGUCGAACGAGAGUAUUGAAGAAGCUUGCUUUAGAGAUACUUUAGUGGCGGACGGGUGAGUAACGCGUGAGGAGCUGUCCAAUGCAGGGGGACAACAGUUGGAAACGACUGCUAAUACCCCAUAAGCCGAGAGGUAAAAGGAUUUAUCCGGCAAUGGAGGUACUCGCGUCCUAUCAGCUAGUAGGUGAGGUAACGGCUCACCUAGGCGAAGACGGGUAGCCGGCCUGAGAGGGCGAACGGCCACACUGGAACUGAGACACGGUCCAGACUCCUACGGGAGGCAGCAGUGGGGAAUAUUGCACAAUGGGCGCAAGCCUGAUGCAGCCAUGCCGCGUGUAUGAAGAAGGCCUUCGGGUUGUAAAGUACUUUCAGCGGGGAGGAAGGGAGUAAAGUUAAUACCUUUGCUCAUUGACGUUACCCGCAGAAGAAGCACCGGCUAACUCCGUGCCAGCAGCCGCGGUAA
rnacentral:rRNA from 1 species